GAUGAACGCUGGCGGCGUGCCUAAUACAUGCCAGUCGAGCGAACGGACGAGAAGCUUGCUUCUCUGAUGUUAGCGGCGGACGGGUGAGUAACACGUGGAUAACCUACCUAUAAGACUGGGAUAACUUCGGGAAACCGGAGCUAAUACCGGAUGAUAUUUUGAACCGCAUGGUUCAAAAGUGAAAGACGGUCUUGCUGUCACUUAUAGAUGGAUCCGCGCUGCAUUAGCUAGUUGGUAAGGUAACGGCUUACCAAGGCAACGAUGCAUAGCCGACCUGAGAGGGUAAUCGGCCACACUGGAACUGAGACACGGUCCAGACUCCUACGGGAGGCAGCAGUAGGGAAUCUUCCGCAAUGGGCGAAAGCCUGACGGAGCAACGCCGCGUGAGUGAUGAAGGUCUUCGGAUCGUAAAACUCUGUUAUUAGGGAAGAACAUAUGUGUAAGUAACUGUGCACAUCUUGACGGUACCUAAUCAGAAAGCCACGGCUAACUACGUG
rnacentral:rRNA from 1 species